GCGCUCCCUUAGGCAGCGCACGGAAUGAAAACGGAACCAGAUGGGGAAGAUUAACAUGGCCCCCAUGCAAGGGUGACACACAGACUCACGAAGCGUUCCGCGUUUUC